rnacentral:rRNA from 1 species
UACAGAGGUCUCAAGCGUUGUUCGGAUUCAUUGGGCGUAAAGGGUGCGUAGGUGGCGAUGUAAGUCGGGUGUGAAAUCUCCAAGCUUAACUUGGAAACUGCACUCGAUACUGCGCCGCUCGAGGACUGUAGAGGGCAUUGGAAUUCACGGUGUAGCAGUGAAAUGCGUAGAUAUCGUGAGGAAGACCAGUGGCGAAGGCGAAUGCCUGGGCAGUUCCUGACACUGAGGCACGAAGGCCAGGGGAGCAAACGGGAUUAGAUACCCCGGUAGUCCUGGCGGUAAACGGUGCACGUUUGGUGUGGGAGGAUUCGACCCCUUCCGUGCCGGAGCUAACGCGUUAAACGUGCCGCCUGGGGAGUACGGUCGCAAGAUUAAAACUCAAAGAAAUUGACGGGGACCCGCACAAGCGGUGGAGUAUGUGGCUUAAUUCGAUGCAACGCGAAGAACCUUACCUGGCCUUGACAUGCAUCUCUAAUCCGGUGAAAGCCGGUGAGUGUAGCAAUACACAAUUUGCACAGGUGCUGCAUGGCUGUCGUCAGCUCGUGUCGUGAGAUGUUGGGUUAAGUCCCGCAACGAGCGCAACCCCUGUGAACUGUUGCCAUGGAGACGUGAGUCUCCGGCACUCUGUUCAGACUGCCCUGUUCAACGGGGAGGAAGGUGGGGACGACGUCAAGUCAGUAUGGCCCUUACGGCCAGGGCUGCACACGUACUACAAUGCCCGAAACGGAAGGAUCCGAGACCGCGAGGUGGAGGAAAUCACGAAAUUCGGGCCCAGUUCGGAUUGGAGGCUGCAACUCGCCUCCAUGAAGCCGGAAUCGCUAGUAAUGGCGCAUCAGCUACGGCGCCGUGAAUACGUUCCCGGGUCU